AUGGCCGACGGCGGUGGCGGAGGAGAGCACGUCGUUCAGAUGAUGGCUGGCGGCUCCGGGCCAGGCAAGGUGGCCGCGCCGGAGAAGUGGCUGAAUCGCUUCGUCCGUGCAGUCGUGUUGAUCGAGAGAGUGGGCAACGCGCUUGGCACGCUGGCUUUCACGUGGGCCACCGUCGUCCUGCUCGGCGGCUACGCCAAGGACCUCCACUCCGGGGAUGAUUUUAUCUUCGCGACAAUCAUAAUUUUCUUAGAGGCCGCAAGGAUGUUCAGCCGCAACAACAGACUAGAUUAUCAAGUGUUCUUUAAUACCAGAGGAGCCUUUAGGCCUCUUGGCUGGAAUGGACUGACUCUAGCUGCAUGUUUUUGUGCUGUUCUGAAAAUCAUGUGGGAGAUGCGCCUGAGGAUGAUCAUAUUGAUGAUAAUACUCUUUGGAUUUGGCCGGUUAUUGUCUGAGGUGUCUUCACGAGGUCUGAAACUACUCAUAUGUAAUCGGAUGCGUCGUGCCGCAUCAGUAUGGAGCCCAUUAGUGGCAAUCGUAUUGCUAGCUCUCUCUACAGACGAAUCCCUUUUCAAAGACUACUCAAUGAUGAUUUACCCGCAGAAAAAAAAAGACUACUCGAUGAUUGAACGGGCAAUGUUCCUAGUACUACUUGUGGCAGUGCUCGUAGCAACAAUAAGCAGUCUGCACUUCACAAGAAUCAGGAAACUAGUGGACAGUGUCCUAGGCAACAAACUAGAAUUUUGGCGUCAAGGUAUUAUAAGCUUGUGCAUGGUUGCUGCUCUAGGGAUGCUGGUGUACAUGCUUAAGGAUUAUGAUAGAUUUAGGAUGAUCAUAAUCGAAGUAUGCGCUGUAGCAAUAAUGUCAUUUGGGAACUUACAGAUUCCAGCAGCAGUUGUGCGGGUUGUUCUAGCGUUAAUUGGGCUUAUGCCAGUUGAUGAUAGUGAUCCUCCUUACGAUGAUGAAAACCUGAAAGCGUCUCUGAGAAUCUUCUAUUGGAUGGUGCUUGGACAAGGAAUACUCUAUGCUGUGGCCUGCAUGCUCGAGUUCUUUUCUUUCAUCCGUCGAAGGUCCCUUGUCCGUUGUGGUGGAUUCGGAGGUCAAUGGGGAGUGGAAUCUGUAAAUAUGUAUUAUGCCUACGCAUUAGAGAAAUGCAUGCAAGGGGGUGUGCUUGCUCCAAAGAAGAUCAGCCUCAGCAACUUCGCCACAGAUUAUGUGAACUCGGACAUAUCCAAGAAUCAGCUCCAUGGGAUUCGCAUGAUGCACAGCUUUCUGCAAAGAGAGCCAACCAAGGCACAGCUCCUUUCAAAACUCACAGCUUCUACCAAGACGGUGGUCAGAAUAAUCAAAAUGUUGGAUUGGACAUGUCCAAAGGAUGCAGCUAUCAGAUUAUAUGCCGCGAAGGUCACUGCUGAACUUGCAAAGAACCUCCGUGUUGUCACUAUCCCGGGUACAAUACAGCUUGUAUCUGCACUUCUUGACAGUGAUAGCACACUGCAAAGAGGAAACCCACUUCUGGACACAGAUGAUGAACAAGAAGAAAGGCAAGAGUUAUCUAUGAAUACAGAAGACAACCAAGUGGUAAAACAUCACUCCAUGAGGAACGCAGCUGAUAACCAAGGGAAAAGACAAGACCGACAUCAGGAGACUGAUAACCUGCUGGAAACACAAAUCCGCUCGACACAACAAGUCGGCAUCGACGAACAGAAAUCAUGCAUUCUCAGAUGCUGGCAGUGGAUUCAAGAAUUCAGGUCGAUUCCCAAGGAGCAGCAGUUGACAGACCAUGAUUUUCUUCCAGCACUGGCAAUGGAAAUUAUUGACAGUCUUGCUGGUUCUGGUCAGGACAAUUGUGUGGAAAUCAGCAAAGCUGCUGACCUCAUCUCGAAGAUCAUAGGAUUCACAAGCUACAGAAGGGAUAUAUUGAAUACUGAGGCGCAACAAAGUAUCCUGCUCAAGUCAUCACUGAAGGUGCUGCAAAGGCUCACAAGCAUUGGCGGGAAAAUCGGCAUCAUACUGCGGUAUGAAAUAUCAAGACAUCCCUUCCUACUGAGAAACCUCAUAGAAAUUCUUGGAGACAACAAGAGCAGUCAAGAAUUGAGAAAGUUAGUGGCAGCAAACCUCAGAAACCUUGCUGUUGAUGAAAGAGCAAGGCAGGAGAUUGGUCAUGUCCAACUGAUCAUUACCAGGCUUGUGCAGGCAUUUCUCAACACUGAAGAAAUCACGAGUGUCAACGCUGAUCGCUUGCUACGAAAGGUAGCUGGGCAAGCACUGGCAAUGCUGACAAUGCAAAGUGUCCAAAACUGCUUGGUUAUAUUGCAGGAACCAGAGUUCAUGAUGGAACUCAAAAUCAUGAUCCAUGAUAAAAUGUACGUAUAUGUGGCGGCAAGCCUGUUGCGUAAUCUGUGCAUGCACGCUCGAUCCGAGCUCAGGGAGUCAGAACUGAAGGAGCUAUCUCAUACCUUGAGAGAGGUGUUGGAAAGAAUACUGGACGUGGACGGGGCAGAACUAGAGAUCCUGAUUGGGCUUAGUUCACAGAUAUGUAAAGUUAUUCCUGAAGACUUUACCCGAGAACUAGACGCUGGUCAGAUUAAGCAGAGAUUUGCCAAGAGGCUUGUCGACACACUAAAAGCAAACAUGAAACCUAGUGCUCAUUGUCCUGGGAUCAGGAGAGUGGUACUCGAGCAAGUCAUACACUUGAUGGAGUAUAAUUCUCGCUAUGCAGAUUGCUUCAACGCGUUCGGGGUGACAGAUGCACUGUCAAUGGUAGAACAAACACCGUCAAAGGCUGAAAACUACAGGCUUUUCUUGGGCGAUGAAGGAUUCAUGGAGUACAGCAUGCCUCUCUCCGAUCUUGUGGCCAGAGCAAAAGAACUUAUGGGUUGCGACUGA
rnacentral:rRNA from 1 species